CAAAGUCUUCUAACGAUAACAUGAGCCAAUCUAUGCCUCAGACUAUGGUCUGCACCAGUGAAUUACAGCUGUGGAAUCUCUGUACAAUUUGUAUCUGAUCCUCGAAUGAAUGUAAGCUGCAAGCUCUUCUACCUUUAUGACAGCCCUGAAACAUUAUAUGUGAGAUCCUGAGCUUUCUCAAAAGGCAAAGCUGAUCUCUCCAGAUGAGGAACUUGAGGCCCUGGGAAAUGAAGUGUCAUGUCCAAGUUUACACAGUGACGGAACCUGAAUCAGAAGUUCCCAGGCCUUUGCAUUCUGGCUACAGAGAACAUAUCACCAGCUAUUGACCACUGGUUUAAGACACCUGCUUGUGAAAGAUUUUCUUCAUCAGGCCAUUCCAUUAAUAUCAAGUCAUCUGCUUCUGGGUGACAGGAGAGUCAUAAAUGCUAAAGGUGUAAUGUGCUCCUUCUGCGUCAGCAUGUGUCAGCCAUCCUCAGGCACACCUUCAGCCUUCAGUAUUUCCAGCUCCAGGGGAAGAGUCGAGGCCCUUCCACCGCAGCAAAAGAUAGUUUCCAAGUGGAAUCCAAGCACAUCCUACCUAGGUGCUCUGCUUGUGGUCUCCUAGGGCUACAAUCCAGAACUACAAGACCGUUUCUCUCACCCCGAGCCCACCGGGAUGACCUGACCUGCAGUGCCUCAAACUUGUCUGUGUGGCAACAGUGUUUGAUGCCACCGUCCAUCAGAGCAGUGCCUUCUCCAGGGACUAAUUCACCAGAGGCUGCAAGAUCGUCCAUAGGAUGUGCCUCACUGGAGUCAAAGAAGUUGCUAAAAAUUGAAAACAGAACCUCCUGGGUCCUUUGAGUGAUCAACCAGCCUUGGGUGACCUGGCCCGUGCCUAGCUCUCCAGCCUCAGCCCUCUCUGACACCCUCCGGCUUGACAUCUCGUGCUUGGGGCCCUGCCCACAGCCCUGCAGCAGGAAACGUAAGCAGAGGCAAGUGGCAAACAGGACAGAAUCUGUAGCAUAUAUAAAAGUCUGACAGUUUUCAUGUAUAUGACAUAUAUAAACAGUUACUAUGGAUCAGUAAGCAAAUCAUGAGCUGUCCACAAAGAAAAAUCUAUAUAUAAACAGCCAUCCAAAAACAGAAAAAUACAUGUAGGGAGAAUAAACGUAAGGGAUAAAAGCCCAACCAUCAUAGUAACAAAAGAAAUACAAAUUAAAAGGGCGAUGAAUAUUUUCUGCCUUUGUAGGUGAAGUAAGGGGUGAAUUAAGACCUCUCCUAUGAGGCUGAUGAAGUGCAGAUUAGCAAAGAUUCCUCAUGGGAAACUUUACUGCGUGAAAAAAGUCUUUUAAAAUGUGUAAAACAGUGACUAAGCAAUUCCACUGGUACAAAUUUAUCCUGAGGAAAUAAUUAGUAGAUUGAGAAUUUUUUUCACUUUGGGGAUGUAUAACACAGUGUGGUUUCUAAUGGAGAAUACAUAGAAAUAAUCCAAAGUGCCAACAAUUGGGUACUUUUAAAGUAAAUUCCAUACAAUACACUACACGCAUCUAUUUAAAAGGGAAGUAUGGAAGUAUAACUGUUGACAUGAGACGGAUGUUUGUUCGUAAAUUUUUAAGAGAAAAAAGUUUAUAAAAAUAUGACACUAUUUUUUAUUUCAAAAAAGGUAUAUGUAUGAAAUGACAGAGAGAGUAUACACCAAACCAUAAACACUGGUUAUACCUAGAAUAGACUUUCUGGUGAAGAAAUUUGGGGGAAGCCUUUCUACAUUUUUCCAUCUUUGAACAAUAAUACUGAUUUAUUGGUAUAAUAAAAAGUGGUUUAAAAAUAACUCAAAUAAAAUUGCCGAACUUAGAGUUAUUUAUUAUUGAAGGAAUAUACUUGAGCAACUUAAUUUUUAAAAUAAAGCCAGCCAUUUACUUCAAUCCAGAAGACAUUUAUCCAUCUAAGAGCCAGGCGUGGUUGUGUGUUGGUGUAGGGAACACUGGUAAUUCACACAGUCGCUUAAAUAAACCUUGUUAAAUUACAAA